rnacentral:lncRNA from 1 species
GCAGAAAUUGAGCUAAUAGUUGGCUCUGGAGAAGGGCAGAGUGUGAGUGAGAGAUGGGCCGCAAGAAUACUUUCAAGAUGCUCCUUUGUACUUUGUGAAUUUUGUAUCAAGUUUUUAUACUAUUUUAAAAUUUUUUUAAAAGAGAAUACCCUUGAAUUUUAUACUGUAGUUGAAUUUUUAUCAGAUGUUUUGUCAAACAAUGGUGACUUAAAGUAGAAUUAUAAUUAUGAAAUUUCUUGAAAAUAAUUUUUGCUUUAAAAUGAGAUCUUUCUUGGUGCUAGGGAUACAUCCCUAGCUACAGCCUGGCUACAGCCCAGCAGCAUAAGCACUUGUCUCACAAGUGCAAGGUCAUGAGUUCGAUCCCUAGCACCAAAAAAAAAAGAUUAAAAUGAGAUCCUUCUAAAAAGUGUUGGGAAUUAUUUCUCUACAAUCACGUCCUGCCGAAAAGGUCUGAGACGGUCUCAAAAGCUUUCCUCAAGGCAGCUUGCUGCGCUUUCUUCAAGGUGUUCUUUAUCUUGCUUUUUCCUCUUUCACUCAACCCAACCUUGCUCUGCUGAGUCAGUUUUUCUUUCAUUGUUCACUUUAACUGUUUCAAAUAAAUUUUGCCAUUGCUUUACAAAGAAGAAGAAGGAAGAAGAGGAGGAGCAGGAAGAGGAGGAGGAGGAAGAGAAGGGGAAGGAGAAGGUCUUAGAAUGCAAAUACGGUGGGCUUCUUCCAGCUUCGGCCAGUUCAUCAGGCCUGAAAGAACCUGAAGCAACUUCCCUGACUCUGGCCCCAGGGGCACUGGCUGGGCAGGGAGAUCUGCGUGACCUGCAACUGGUGACAGAGCCUCACAAACCAAGCCAGCUGCUUUG